rnacentral:rRNA from 1 species
GACGAACGCUGGCGGCGUGCUUAACACAUGCAAGUCGAACGGGUCUGCCCUGUUUUUUGCGGGGUGGGUCAGUGGCGAACGGGUGAGUAACACGUGAGUAACCUGCCCCUCACUUCUGGAUAACCGCUUGAAAGGGUGGCUAAUACGGGGUGUUCUGGCUGUGCCGCAUGGUGUGGCUGGGAAAGAUUCACUUUUGUGGUGUUUUGGUGGGGGAUGGGCUCGCGGCCUAUCAGCUUGUUGGUGGGGUGAUGGCCUGCCAAGGCUUUGACGGGUAGCCGGCCUGGGAGGGUGGGCGGUCACACUGGGACGGAGAUACGGCCCAGACUCCUGCGGGAGGCAGCAGGGGGGGGUAUUGCACAAUGGGCGGAAGGCUGAUGCAGCGACGUCGCGUGAGGGAUGGAGGCCUUCGGGUUGUGAACCUCUUUCGCCGGUGAAGAAGGUCCUGCUCUUUGUGGUGGGGUUGACGGUAGCCGGGCUAUGAAGCGCCGGCUAACUACGUG